rnacentral:rRNA from 1 species
CCUACGGGUGGCUGCAGUCGAGAAUCUUCCGCAAUGGACGAAAGUCUGACGGAGCGACGCCGCGUGGUGGAUGAAGUCCUUAGGGACGUAAACACCUUUUAUGAGGGAAGCGGUACCUCAUGAAUAAGGGGCUCCCAAUUCUGUGCCAGCAGGAGCGGUAAUACAGAAGCCUCAAGCGUUACCCGGAAUCACUGGGCGUAAAGGGUGUGUAGGUGGUGUGAUUAGUCCGGCGUUAAAUCUUCAGGCUCAACCUGGAGCUCGCGUUGGAAACGGUCAUACUGGAGGAAAUGAGAGGUGUGUGGAACUCAAUGUGUAGGGGUGAAAUCCGUUGAUAUCUUGGGGAACACCAAAAGCGAAGGCAGCACACUGGAUUUCCUGACACUGAAACACGAAAGCGUGGGUAGCGAAUGGGAUUAGAUACCCUAGUAGUC